UUCACCGUGUUGACCAGGAUGGUCUCGAUCUCUUGACCUCGUGAUCCACCCACCUCGGCCUCCCAAAGUGCUGGGAUUACAGGCGUGAGCCACUGCGCCCAGCCACUGUCAUUAUCUUUCUAAAUUUAGGUUUGAUCAUUUAACUCUUAGGCUUUUCUUUUAAUUGCUUAAAACAGCUUUAACUGCAGUUAGUUUAAGCUGUGACUGAGUGGUGACGCUUCAGUCCUGAUUCUGAAGGCAAAGCAUAAGGUGGAUGUGAUUUUUCUGAGGUACAUAGGACAGUGCCAUACCUAUGAUGAAUUUUUCCUUUUUUGUUCUUGUGUAGCAGUUACAGGAAAUUUAAAAUGGGACUAGUUGUUUUUUGUAUAAGAAAAAAGUAGAUUUGUUUGAUUUGUUGUUCUUACAUUCAGAUUCAAAGCAUGUCGUCUGGUGUUACGUUCCCAAGACCACAGCCAUUUAUAUUAGUCUGUGAGUUUCUCAGGAGGGCACAGAACGUAUCUUUCUUAUUUCCGAUGAGUAACAUUGUACCUGGUAUUUGAUGUGUGCUCAAUAAGCGUUUGUUAGGUUAAACCAAAAGAUUCCCCAACUGGGCACUGUCCUAAGAUAAUUUUAUUCUACUUAUAAGUUGAUUGUGGUAUGUGGCAGUGCUCUAUAAUUAACAUAUUUUUUUAACCAACCCUUAUAGGUGAUAGUUUUAGGAUAAAACUUUCAAUUUCUUAAGGAUAAUCAGUAAGAAAUUUCCUUCAGGAGUUGUGAUAAGGAACACACAUUUACUUGCUUGCAAUGUUUGGAUGAUAUUGUAGUUAAGUGGUCAUCUUAAAUAAGAUUGAGUUUAUGUUUGAGCCAGUAGUAGGCAAGCAGUAUACCAUUUAAGAAGUAUUCCUGUCAUCAGUUAAAAUGGGUGUUGACCAAAAUAUCAGUGCAUUAAGGAAGAAAAUGAAACCUUGUCUUUUUCUAGGAUAGAAGAGUUAGAAUUAAUAUUGUCAUAUUGUAAUGUGACUGCCAUCCAACGUAAUGUAAAACUGUGUACUGAUUCCUUUUGAAAAUAUAUUUUAAACAUUUUCAUCAGUACAUGCAAUGCACUUGCCAUUAAAGAAUAACACAAGGUAAACACUUGAUGAAAUUUAACUAAUUUUUAUUGAACACCUAUUAUGUGUGAAAAUCUGGAAUAUACAGUCAUUAAUCUUUAGCUAUCACAAGCCUUUCCCUUGGAGGGCUGGAUGUUUGAAAGGUACUGAUCUAUGUAAGCAGUAAGUGGUGAUUUCUAAGAUAAUUUAAAAACCUAAGGCAAGAAAGAGAGCAGUAUAAGAAAAGAAGAAGGAAGGCAGCAUUGCUGUCUGUUUCUCAGCAUCAAGAGCAGUGGAAGAACUUUAUGUUGCUGUCUAGAUGACCACGUCUGUUGUCUCAAGUGACAGGAAGUUUUAGCUAGCUAUUGACAGAGGCACUUAGAACUGGCUGUGUCCAAUUGUAAGUGAGCAGAGCAAUCAGAAUAUGAUAGCCAACUUUGAAUAAAGCUGUUCCAUCCCCAUGGGAAAAACAUAACAAAAUCUCAAAUGGUGACUGAAACUAAGGGAAAAACUUUUAAUAUCUGUUUGUGGACUGGGACACAUCUUAUUUUUCUCAUUUGUUAAAUAUGUAAGUAGAAUUAGAAGAGUUUUAAUAUCUCAUUUUUGACUUCUCCGUUAACUUCAUGUAGAUUUAAAAAAUCUUAUUUUUAGAGAAGUUUUUUUUUUUUAAAACAUAGAGCUCUCUAAUAUGCCAUUUAGCAAAUGUUAAUCACACAUUAUCCUGAGGGCUGGGGUAAUGUUGAGCAUCAGAGAUAUCUUCUCUGUUCUAAUCUUCCAGUUUAAUGGGGUUAUGGAAAAGUAAUUACAAAAUAGUAGGAUAAGCUAGUGUAGAUUUCUAGGAUGCUAUAAGAAUAUAGAUGAAGGAUUUUUAAUAACAACAACAAAGCAGAUAAGAUGUCAUUGACGGCUUCCUGGAGGAAGUGACAUCUAACCUGGGAUCUUAAGGAUUAUUAGAAAUGAGUCAGAUCAGGAAAGUGGGAGAACAUUGUAGUCAGGGAGGAAAAAACGUAGGUGAAGGCCUGAAAAGGGAGGGAAAGAGAACAUUUUGUGGACCUGAAAGAAAUUUGGAAUGCUUGGAUCGACAAUCACACACACACACACACAGAGAGAGAGAGAGAGAGAGAGAGAGAGGGAGAAAGAGAGAAAGUGUGUGUGUGUGUGUGUGUGUGUGUGUGUGUGUGUGUGUGUGUGUGUGUGUAUGUGUGUUGGGGGAAGCGUUUGUGAUUGAUAAUUAAGACUAAUUAGUUAAGGUUAGAGGAAAAUACCAUUUUUGGAUGUUUAUUGAGAAUAAAUAUACAGUCCCUACUGAAUAUAAUUUACUGUAUAAUUAAGACUAAUUAAGAAAUUGAUAGUGUCUUUAUUUUUCUGUGAUCGAGAACCUGGUAGACAAAAUGAUAUGUCUGAUUUAGGGAUACAGUUUUAUAUUUUUCACUUGACUAUUUUUUAUGUAUAAUCUCAUGUUGUUUACAGACUGAUUAUUUUAUGCUUUAAAUCUGCCGCCACGUACAGCAUCUUAUUUAAAUCUUAAGUUUAAUUCUUAAAUUAAACCUAGUUCAGAUUAUCUCUGUUUCCUCUUCAAUCUUUUUUGACUAUCCUAAAGACAGAAUUGAAUCUGUCUGGCAGGUUUUAUAGUUUAGAAUCCGUGUGCAAAAGUUUCCUGUUUUCUUCCCACUGCUAUUAUACUCACCUACACUUCCUGAGAGCUAUGUAUAGGUCAAUUAGAAAGCCUUAACCAAAGCAUUUUUAAAUCAUUCUACCUCUCAUCGUUUGUCAUUCACUUACGAAGUUAACUAUGAACUAACCAUAUUAGCAGUCCUUGCCAAGGUAUUUUGUAAUAU